rnacentral:rRNA from 1 species
AGAGUUUGAUCCUGGCUCAGGACGAACGCUGGCGGCGUGCCUAACACAUGCAAGUCGAGCGGGAACCUGUGAAGGGGUAACCCUCCGCAGGGGAGAGCGGCGAACGGGUGAGUAUCACGUGGGCAACCUGCCCCGGACACCGGGAUAACCCAGGGAAACCUGAGCUAAUACCGGAUACUCCGGCGCGAUCGCAUGGUCGCUCCGGGAAAGCUCCGACGGUCCGGGAUGGGCCCGCGGCCUAUCAGCUUGUUGGUGGGGUAACGGCCCACCAAGGCGACGACGGGUAGCUGGUCUGAGAGGACGGCCAGCCACACUGGGACUGAGACACGGCCCAGACUCCUACGGGAGGCAGCAGUGGGGGAUAUUGCGCUAAUGCGCGAAAGCGUGACGCAGCGACGCCGCGUGGGGGAUGAAGGCCUUCGGG